rnacentral:lncRNA from 1 species
AUGCCUUCCUGCCCCAGCACUGGUGCAGAGCCUCCCUCCAGCCAGGUGGAGCUGGGCUGGUUACAGCCACAUCUAGCCAGGUCGCGUGUGGCCAGACCUCACCAGGGAUGGCCUCAGAUGCAGACCAGGGCCAGACAAUCUGUAGAGAUGGUGCUGGUGUCCCGAGGUGGCCCUCCAGAGAGCUCAGCACACCUCAGGAGGGGGCAUCCUGGGAGGAGGCUUCUGCCUGCGGGACCCCCACCCGGACCCACACACCUCACCCAUCACCAGCACUGCCCACACCUCUGUCCCCUCCAGCUGUUGAUGUGGCCUGAGCCCCACCCAGGUGCUUCAAGAGCCUCUCGUGGUCCCAGAGCACUCAGAGACUACUGGGAAACUAGAUGGAAGAAACGGCAGUUUUCAAAAAGUUCUUUAAAUUCAGGAUGAAAUCUCUGGCAUGCCAGAUCAUCCCUGGCAUGCCAGAGGCCGGGUCAGGGCGGGACAUGACCCUCAGCCAAGCAAGUGGUGCAGACCACAAAGUCCCCUGGGAGUUUGUGGAGCCAGGGCUUCUCUGAGGGAGGCAGCCGAAGGGCUCUGUGCUAGGGCUCGAGCCUGGGACUCGAGUGGCAUGAACACCCCAAGGAGGGCAGUUAACCCUGUCUGGGAGGUGGGAGGCCAGAUGGAGUGGCCUUGGAGUUUGGCCUUGAGUACAGGAGCAUCCACCAGGUGGAGAAAGUUUUGGGGGGUAGGGGCAGGGAGUAGCAAGAGCAAAGGUGUGAGGGCAGAGGGCGGUGAGUUAUUUGCAGGAAAUGAUUUCGUUGUUGUUGGAAUAGAAGUUUGGUAGGAGGGAGCAGCAGCGACAAAGGUGAGGUCAGCCGGGCCAGAGGGGGAGGAGUCUGAAAGUCUCAAGUGUUCUGCCGCCACCCUGCAGGUCCUGGGGCUCCGAAGCCUCACGUGGCCGUUAAAGCACCUGAGGGCGACUCUGCCCGGCUGGACCCAGGUUGCGGCCUCCACAGGGGAGGGGCACAGUCCGAAGAAAGGGUUUGCCAGGCAAACGGGCCACCCAAACAGGGAUGCACCAGGCUCUGGGAACCCGCUCAGGAGAACAAAUGGUUUUCAGAGCAGCAUCCAGCUCUUGGCCAACCACACAGUGGUUGCAGACCUUCUGUCCAUCGCAUCCACCCAUCAGCGGUGGCGGCAGGACGAGCAAUCGCUGUCUCUGCAGUCACAGGAGGGGAGGAAAACCCAGGCCUUUUGCAAUCGCUCUGAUUCGGAUGUUUUCUGCCCCUCUGGACUGGCCGCCCUUCCCCUCCCGCCCCUGAGCUC